AUUGAACGCUGGCGGCAGGCUUAACACAUGCAAGUCGAGCGAGCGGCGGACGGGUGAGUAAUGUAUGGGGACUGCCCGAUGGAGGGGGAUAACUACUGGAAACGGUGGCUAAUACCGCAUACUAUCGGAUAACCCAUAUGGGAUUAGCUAGUAGGUGGGGUAAAGGCUCACCUAGGCGACGAUCGCUAGCUGGUCUGAGAGGAUGAUCAGCCACACUGGGACGGAGACACGGUCCAGACUCCGACGGAGGCAGCAGUGGGGAAUAUUGCACAAUGGGCGCAAGCCUGAUGCAGCCAUGCCGCGUGUAUGAAGAAGGCCUUAGGGUUGUAAAGUACUUUCAGCGGGGAGGCGUUACCCGCAGAAGAAGCACCGGCUAACUCCGUGCCAGCAGCCGCGGUAAUUC
rnacentral:rRNA from 1 species